AUUACGGCACUGGGGCAGCAGGCUUCACUGGCCCGCCACCUGUAGCAGUAGCCCCAACAUCGCCCCCUGAUACCGUAGCCCUACCGUUCUUAAGAUGUAACAAUGUUAGGCUCAUGGUUGCGGCCCACUUAACUUCCUUGAACGAUCCAUUCAUUACUUCUCGUAACAUCUCAUCUUCAUUCAGAUA
rnacentral:rRNA from 1 species